CUUAGGACAGGUAAUAAUAACUUUUACUACUAACCCUAACCCGACUCAGUCUAGUCCAAUAUAAACAGAGUAAAAGAUCAGAACAGAUAAGAAAAUUGGAAGCGGGACAAGUCUUCAAUAUUCAAAUAGUCAAUGACAGUUUGUUCAAAAUAUAUUAUUAUCCAAAGAAGAAACCACUAGAUUGUAUAAACUCAGUCAUAUAAAAUUCGCAAAUAUACCAUGGAUUAUCAGAGAAUAUGCAUCGUAACCGGCGGUUCUAGAGGUAUAGGUCGAGGUAUCGCUUUGGAACUAGCAAAACAUGGAUUUACGGUUUACAUCACAGGAAGAAAUAUGGAAACGCUACAAGCUGUUGCCAAUGAGGUUGAAGGAAAUGAAAGCGGAGGCAGAAUACACCCGAUUGAAUGUGACCAUGCAAACGAUAAGGAAGUGGAUAAAAUGUUCAAACAAUAAAACACAAUCAUCAGGGUCGACUUGAUCUUCUCGUGAACAAUGCAUCUUCUGCAUCUCAGUUCAUCACGAAUAACUCAGAACUUUCAUUUUGGGAUCAACCAGAUGAUUCGUGGGAGGUCUUUAACAAUGUAGGAUUAAGGAACAAUUUCAGAUGUACGGUAUUAGCGUUCGAGAUUAAUGAUUAAAAAAGGAAGGGACUGAUCAUAAAAUAUUUCCUCUGUCGGAAGCUUGGGUUAUAUGUUAACACCUUUGUAUGGAAUUAGGAAAAAAUGCGCUAGAUCGAAUGGCAAGGGACUGUGCCGUUGAUUUAAAAAAAUACAACGUCGCUUUUAUAUCGCUGUGGCCUUUUGCAGUAAAAACAGAGUAUGCUGUGAAUGCUGCGGUCAAAUCAAAUUCAAGGAUUCACACUUCGAAAGAGGCUCUAUAUUUCUAGAACAUGGUGAAUCGGUGGAAUUUGUUGGAAAGUAGUAGUAUUUU